rnacentral:rRNA from 1 species
AACGAACGCUGGCGGCAUGCCUAACACAUGCAAGUCGAACGAGACCUUCGGGUCUAGUUGCGCACGGGUGCGUAACGCGUGGGAACCUGCCCUUAGGUUCGGAAUAACUCCCCGAAAGGGGUGCUAAUACCGGAUAAUGUCUUCGGACCAAAGAUUUAUCGCCUUUGGAUGUGCCCGCGUUGGAUUAGCUAGUUGGUAGGGUAAAAGCCUACCAAGGCGACGAUCCAUAGCUGGUCUGAGAGGAUGAUCAGCCACACUGGGACUGAGACACGGCCCAGACUCCUACGGGAGGAAGCAGUGGGGAAUAUUGGAGAAUGGGCGAAAGCCUGAUCAAGCAAUGCCGCGUGAGUGAUGAAGGCCUUAGGGUUGUAAAGCUCUUUUACACGGGAUGAUAAUGACAGUACCGGGAGAAUAAGCACCGGCUAACUACGUG